rnacentral:rRNA from 1 species
GAUGGACGCUGGCGGCGUGCCUAAUACAUGCAAGUCGAGCGAACAGACGAGGAGCUUGCUCCUCUGACGUUAGCGGCGGACGGGUGAGUAACACGUGGAUAACCUACCUAUAAGACUGGGAUAACUUCGGGAAACCGGAGCUAAUACCGGAUAAUAUAUUGAACCGCAUGGUUCAAUAGUGAAAGACGGUUUUGCUGUCACUUAUAGAUGGAUCCGCGCCGCAUUAGCUAGUUGGUAAGGUAACGGCUUACCAAGGCAACGAUGCGUAGCCGACCUGAGAGGGUGAUCGGCCACACUGGAACUGAGACAAGGUCCAGACUCCUACGGGAGGCAGCAGUAGGGAAUCUUCCGCAAUGGGCGAAAGCCUGACGGAGCAACGACGCGUGAGUGAUGAAGGUCUUCGGAUCGUAAAACUCUGUUAUUAGGGAAGAACAAAUGUGUAAGUAACUAUGCACGUCUUGACGGUACCUAAUCAGAAAGCCACGGCUAACUACGUG